rnacentral:rRNA from 1 species
UACGUAGGGUGCGAGCGUUAAUCGGAAUCACUGGGCGUAAAGGGCGCGUAGGCGGCCUUGCAAGUCGGUUGGUGAAAGCCCCGAGCUUAACUUGGGAAUUGCGCUCGAAACUACUUGGCUUGAGUGUGGCAGAGGAAGGUGGAAUUCCAGGUGUAGCGGUGAAAUGCGUAGAGAUCUGGAGGAACACCGAUGGCGAAGGCAGCCUUCUGGGCCAACACUGACGCUCAUGCACGAAAGCGUGGGGAGCAAACAGG